CAUCACAGAGGGAGCAGGGUGGCGAUGCUGGCAGCUGUAAGGUGGAGGGACUCUCACAUGGUCGAGGAGUGCAAGGACCCCAAGUGCAAGGGGUGGGGCUUUGAACACCACCAAGACCCCCUUCUGCGUGACACCCAGGCCUGGCUUCUGAACCACGGGGAUGUGUAGCCCACGGAAGGAGACAGACCACAUCAGAUCAGACGUGUUACAGAGAAAAAGACAGCAGAGCGCAGUCAGGACUGAUUUUCUGCUUACACAGGGCUCCACCUCCUGUCUGCAAGGUCUGCCUCUGAAGGUUGCCUACCGACAGAAGCACAGAGCACACGGUCGUGGCUUGACUGGCUCCAUACGAGAAAGCCUCAGGCACAGCAAUCAAUGUGUGUCUCGUGACUGACAGCACCGAGCUGAGACCAGUUCUCCCCUGCUACUGGACACGAAGCAGACGCCAGACACCCACAGAACCACGCACGAGGCCACCAGCCUGCUGGCUACCCGACUCCCCCCUCCCCAGGCAAUGCACUCCAAGACUUGGGGCCCUCAGAGCACCAACCAGUGCCCGGAGCACUGCCUCAGCAAUUGUCCCCUCUGCCCGGAGCCGGGCCGGACGCCUCGCACCAGCACCCAGGAGCUGGAGAGAGAGGCAGCCUGCCCGACCCAGUCGGGGCCGGGCACCUUUGCUUUGCGGAAUUGCAGGGGGAAAAGCAGAGCCAGAGAGGAGGUCCCGGGGGGACACUGAGGCCAGCUCCACUUGCUUUAUGAGCCAGUGGCCAGCGGGUGUGCACUGCCACAACUGCCUUUCUGAGGAGUCCACGGGGAGUCCACGGCAUGGGUGUGUGCACACCAGUAACGAGGGAAAGGCUGCAGACAGCAUUCAGACCGAGACUCCUUUUUUCGAAAAACUAGAAGUGCAGUAUCGUCAAGAACGUUACUUCUUAAAAUGUUUUCUGGGACUCUGGCAAAUUCCAUCAAAAUUAAAACACACAUUUCUAGAAAUAAAUCGUACAGCAAUACCUACCUGGUUGCACACAGGAUACUCACCGGAGCCUCUGCAAUACGAACUGCCCCCCGCCCCCCAGCACUGAAAUAAACUGAUGCUUUCCACCAGUGGGAUAUUUAUGCGGCUGCCCCACACAGGCAGCCCACACUCCCCAAAAUGGAUACUGGGGAUUCGUUACCCACAAAAGGCAGUCCCAGCAAAAGGCAUAAAAGUGCCGUACUCUGAAA